GGAUGAGUCAGAGAGGAGAGGACUGAAUUCUGGCCAGAGGGCACUGUGCCUGUAAAUGCCUGGAGGUCCUAGGAACACAAGGGCUCAUGGUCAGGGAUCGUGUGGGAUCCUCCUUGAUGCUGAAGAUGCAAUCAUGAGCAAAGGUAGCAAGUUCUGUGGAGUGACUGUGACACAGCCUUAGUAUAAGGGGAUGGGGGGGAAGUACAGGGGAGGAUGAGGCAGGAAAAAAAGCCUGAGGACUUUAAUACAUGGUAGGAGAUAUAAGUUAUUCUUUAGGCUCCAAUAAGUCAGCAGUUUUGAGUUGAAAAGGCGCAUGAUUAAUUUAUAUUUUAGCUACAAGUAAUCCAAUGGCCUCCUAUGUAUUGCCUGAAAUAAUUAAGGGCUCUUCAUUACUCCUGGGAUAGAAAUCAAAGUUUUUAACAUGGUUGGAAAGCCUUGCAAGGUCUAGCCCCCACCUAUCUCUUCGGCCUUAUCGUAAACCCCUUGUCCCCAUUUGCUCCAUGGGGGCCUGGCUGGUCUUCUGUUAUCACAACACAUGACCACCUACCACAGGCCCUUGGUACAGGUUGUUUUCUCUUCCAUGAAACCUUCCCUCUUUGCUUAAUUAACUUUUCCCUCCUCUGAUCUCUGCCGAAUCACUAUUUCUUGAGGAAGCUUUUCCUGACGCCCACUGCCAUAGAUCUAAUCCCCUAAUAUGUCCAUGUGUAUCUGGGACUCCUUGAUUGUGCUCUGUCUCCUUCACUAGACUGCAGUCAAGAGCAAGGACUCUGUUUUGUUCAUCAUCUUCUCUUCAGUUUCCACUGCAAUGCCUGGUACAUGGUGGGCACACAGUAAACAUUUAUACAAAGCAGAGCAAAAUUGAAAAAAAAAAUUAUUUUCUGUUACGAUGGUUAACAAUGUAGGGGAUAGUUUGGGGUGGGGAACUGAGUUAUAGGCAGGCCUGCAGCUUGCAUCUAGGGCGACCAGCACACACAAUGGUCAAGCAUGUAGUUGUAGAUGAAAAAUAACCUCUCCUUCUGGCAGCCAUGGGCCCAUCAAAAUGAUAUCUUCCUUUAGCAGCUGAUUAGGCUGAAUUCAGGGGCUGAUAAAUCCCUUUCUCCAGGAAAUGUCUCAGACGAGCCCUGGGUGUGAAAAGGCCCUGGUUUUGUUUGUUGGUUUAUAAUUGGUUAAUUACACUUAGGGGCUGGUCACAUAUCAGAAAGGUGAAGGCAUCAUAUUGAGUGAGAAUGUGCAGAAAGUGGAAAGACGGUGAAUUUUAGCCAUGUAUGAAUAAAGGGGUUAACUUUCAAAUUACA
rnacentral:lncRNA from 1 species